UAUUUUAAAAAAGAAAAAAGAAAACAGAGGGUCUUUACCCUCUCUCCCUCUCUCUGCUCAUUUCGGCUAGGGUUCUUAGAACCUUCAUCGUCGCCUUCACCGCAGCGCCACCACAGGCGGUGGUUGGGGUGUAAACCGGGCUUUCAAGCCCCUGUUUAAGGCGAACUCAAUAGCGAAAACUUCCUCGACCAAAGAAGAUCCAAAGAAGGAACCCCCUACGACCUCUUCGGGUCGAAUCCGACGACGGAGGAGCGAUCUCCGACAACGGUCACUUCGAUUCGGGUCAUGGGAGUGUCAGACGCGUGGAAGGCCGGUGAUUGGCGCCCCGAGCGGUGGUGGCACGCGUAAGAAGGCUGGUGGCUGAAGGCAUGCGGCUGAAAACUUUGGUGGCUGCUGAAAAUUUUUUUUAACAUAGUGGGCUUGGGCUAUUAGGGUUUAUAAAUUGGGUUUGGGUAUUGUAUUUGGGCUAUUGGACUCUUAUAUUUGGUUACUUGGGUUUUUUUAUAUCGGGCCCGGGUAAAAUUUGGGCCUUACAGAAUCAUUAUACGAAUAUAGAAAAAAAAGUUUCAAAAA